CAUUAAAUGGAACUGCAGUGGUUCCCAGGUCAGAUUCAGUUGAGUUGUUUACAUUUGUGAGCAUGACAGUAGUCUUAUGGGCAGAACCAUUCUUCAAUACUUCGGAAUGGUCCAUUAAACCUUCUACAGGCGGGUUGUGAUUUUUCCAGGGUGUCAAUUUCGUCAGCUCUUGACUCCAUCCUUGGUAUGAUCCCUCAUACAUUUGUAACUUUUCCUGUAAAAACUGAAUGUA
rnacentral:misc_RNA from 1 species